AACGUAGGACGCAAGCGUUAUCCGGAGUUACUGGGCGUAAAGGGCAGGCAGGCGGGUCGAUAAGUCGGAUGUGAAAUCUCCCUGGCUUAACCGGGAGAGUGCAUUUGAGACUGUCAACCUGGAGGGCAGCAGAGGAGCGUGGAAUUCCGGGUGGAGUGGUGAAAUGCGUAGAGAUCCGGAGGAACACCGGUGGCGAAGGCGGCCUGCUGGGCAGUGGCUGACGCUGAGGCGCGACAGCGUGGGGAGCAAACAGG
rnacentral:rRNA from 1 species